rnacentral:lncRNA from 1 species
AGCGGAUCAGAGCAGAAAGGGGAGCAGACCCAGGGCUCACUGCCAUUCUCAGUGGCCUUACAGGCUCUUAGGUUUCCUCUGCUUUGUUCUUUACUGAUGACCCCAGCAAUCAGUCCAUAAGGCCUGCUUUGCCACCUAUGGUUAAAAGUAGUAAUGCAGAAUCUAUGGAUAAGGUAGCUUGACUGUAUUUCCAAAGGUCAGAUUAAAGUUCACAUCUGAGGCAAAA